CCGCCCAUAGCUCAAUGGUUAGAGCACCGAGCUUAUAUCUCGGCGGUUCCAGGUUCGAGUCCUGGUGGGCGGACCA
rnacentral:tRNA from 1 species